UACGUAGGGGGCAAGCGUUGUCCGGAUUUAUUGGGCGUAAAGAGCGUGUAGGCGGCCAAACAGGUCAGCUGUGAAAACUCGAGGCUCAACCUCGAGACGUCGGUUGAAACCGUAUGGCUAGAGUCCGGAAGAGGAGAGUGGAAUUCCCGGUGUAGCGGUGAAAUGCGCAGAUAUCAGGAGGAACACCGAUGGCGAAGGCAGGUCUCUGGGCCAUAACUGACGCUGAGAAGCGAAAGCAUGGGGAGCGAACAGG
rnacentral:rRNA from 1 species